rfam:Schistosoma haematobium scaffold698_8, whole genome shotgun sequence.
AGCUUUCUGAAUUCGUAUCGAGAUUUCGUCAGACAUCAACCCACCAGGGCUGAUGUGACUUUCAAGAUAAGUAAAGUG